GAACAACCCCUGGCUCUAUGUUAUGGCGAUGAUCCAAACGUUGAAGGAGGAUCAGAUGAUGAGUUAGCAUCUCAAUCAUCCAAAACUAAAACAAAAUCCACGAGCAAGAAACCGGAAGCUGCUGAAGAAGAAGCAACACGAUUGAGACAGAAAUUUGAAAAGUUACCUCCCAAAAUUUUGUCGAUCCACCGGAUAAGAUGGAAUAUGAACAAAGGCAGUGAGAGAUGG
rnacentral:misc_RNA from 1 species